AGUGGAGUUUGGGGUGGAGGCUGACAGUUCACAACCCCCCCACAAAAUAACUUUGCGACCCUCAAGGGGUCAGGACCCCCAGUUUGAGAACCCCCGAUAAGGUGUUCAUUGUGUGCACAUCAUUGUUAAAUGGCAAACGGCAAUUUCAUUUGCUUUUCAUACAUAAAUUUCCUGAUCUCUUUCAAAAUUCUUUCAACUUAUGAUGACUUAAUAAUCUAUUUUGUCACACAAUUAGGAAUAGACCUGGCAAGCCAAACAUAGCUGCUAGGCCGGGAUAAAUUUACAGACAGAAAAAAUCAUAUCAAUUUAUUUUGGACCAUGGUGUAAGCCAUUUAAUUUUAAUGCCAUAGCUCAGGUUUAAUAAAUAUAAUAUCAGGAGAGUAUGAAAUUACUCAAAGUUCAAGAGUAUUAUUGGAAUUACUGUAGCAUCACAGUAUAAUCAUUAAAUGUUGUGUUAUAAACAUCACUUUACACUGAGAGAUUGUCAGGCUCCAAAACAAUGUAAAUAUUUACAUGGAGUUUACUAAACUUCCAGUUUAGUUGAACUAGUUUUUAAGCCCCAGUUCUGUUAGUAUAUUAAACUCUCAAUUGAUUAGAUUGUUUUGGAUGUGCUGCCUGGUUCUGUUCUUUAUUGUUAUUUUUUCUUGUACAUCACCCAAAAAUGCAUCACUCCUUACAUUACAAGAUAAAUUGCACAUAGUUCCUAACUUAGAGAGUUUACACUCCUUUCACUCAGGAUGUAACCAGGGAAACAAGCAAUUGGCUGGGGGUUCUGCUGGCAAAGACACAGCUCACACUAUAAGAUGACAUUGUUACUUGUUUUUCAACAAAGGCAUGUGGUUCGGCAUAGUUAUAAAAUAAUGUAAAUAAAUAUGUCUCACAAAUGUCUCAGGGUGAAAUUCACCCUCUGCAAAGGGUCAACUCAAGGCCUAUUUAAGGUUGAAAUCUUAUGUGGGACUUGAAUGGGAAACAGGACUUUCACAGGGUGAAUUUCAUCCUAGUAAAGCAAGAAUGUGGUUGACCCACUUCAUAUGAUUCCCUUGGUAGAAGUAGAUCUUAAUGAGGAGUGGGUAAUGGCACUCAGUCUUGCUUUGGUUCUCCUUUUAGGCCUGUCUACUUCCAGAUCUCAUGCUGGUACAACAAACGUUCUGCUGAACUAGAUUCAUCCAUGGUAUAACUCCUGGCUUCCCCAUACAACAGCAGAGCAGGUCUGGCAGGAGCAGCGUAAGCCUCCAUACAUGGGGCCUGACUCACCACUAUAUUACUCCACUAUCCCUUCUUGUGCGGUGGACGCUUGUUUGCUGGAAAAGCAGUUGCUUCAGGACUGUCCUUGUGGGGGCGACAGGGUCUGAUCUGCGUGCUUCCUAACUGGCCUGGUUUGUGGUGCUGAAUACAGAUGAACGUGCGGGUGUGAAUGAAGCUCUGACCUUUCUCGCCCAUCCAGUGAGGGGAAAGGCAUGGAGGUGAGCUGGGCUGCAUCUGUCAUUUACCAUGGAGCCAUCCUCCCUUUUCCUGCUAGCAAAUAAAUAAAGACUCUCAGAGCACACUUCUCCACAGAGCAAGGCUAUUUGGUUCACCUUCAGCAGCUCCUUCACUCACUCAUAGAGGAUCCGCUUUCCAAGUAUUGAAUACAGUUACAUUACACAGCGUGCAGCCGCCUCUCCUCACAGGCCCCGUGCGCCCCCUCCCCCCAGCUUUGCUGCAGCGCUCCGGACUGACUGCAGCAGAAACGUAAUCCGUUUAGUGACUGCAGCGAGUGGAAUUGAAAGUGAACUCUCUCAGGCUCUGCUAUGCUCAGCAUGGAGGGGUCGGGGCCCGCAAGGAUGCAGGAUGUUCAAUGCAUGAUUUUUUAUUAAAAACAAAAACAAAACAAAAAAAGGAAGGAAGGGAAUUGUAGUGUGGGCGGAAGGCACUGGGGUUUCAGCCCUAGAGAAUGAAAUGCACUGGCGGCAGAACAGGCACAGUAAAGGCAGACACUUCCCCAAGCCUGGCGUAGAGGGAGCAAGUCGUGGGGUACGCAGGUCAUUCAGUGUCUUGGUCUAUGAAUUACUGUGGCCAUGUCUAUGCGGCAACUGCUACAGCAGCACAGUGGUGGCACCGCAACUACGCCACUGUAGCACCGUCGUGCAGACCCUUCUUCCAUCGACAAAAGACAUUUUUCCAUUGAAGUUGUGCAUCCAAGAGGCAGUAGCGAGGUCGAUGGAAGGCUCCAUCUGUCAGCCCAGCCAGGGCUACAACAGAGGCUAGGUUGACCUAAGUGUGGUGCUCAACGUGUGCAAUUUUUCGCAGCACAGUAAUUCCAUUGACUUGGAGCAGAGUCACUCAUGAAUUGCAUCAAUGUGAGACGAGAAUGGGGCCCCGACAUUUUAAGCACCUCAGCACUUCCUGCUUGUGACCAGGACCAGAAGCAGAAAUGCCAAAAUAUCAUAUGAGAAGUUUGCUUUUGCAAAAUGUCUGGCCAUGUUUUGCAGAGGGCCUGGAUAGUUCAGAAAAGAGCUGGAGAGCAUCUGAAUUUCUGGCUGCUUCUCUGGCACAAUCACACCAAGCUCUGUCCAUCAUUAACUCAGGCCUCCUGUGUUUAUUAAAAUAUUCAUUUUUUAUUUAGCAUUUACAUUGCCCAGAGGCUCCGGUCAGGCUCUGGUCCCAAUUAUGCUAAGAUGUGGAAGUACAUAAUUUUUCUCUCCGGCUAGCCAGACAGCAAAGCAGAGUCCUCUGAACAAGGGAAAGGACAGAAUAUUGGAAUGCAAAGGUUCUGCAGCAGCUGGGCCUGGAGAACUUGGAAAGUUUGACUCUGGAUGCAGUCAGUGGGAGUGGCAGACAGAACUGUGCAGAGGGAACCGGAAGGUGGGGAAUGACUGUUGAGAGGCAGAGUCUGAAGCAAGUCAAGAAGGCAGCAGAGUGAGAACCACCACUGAAGAAAGGUGAAGAGGAAGCACAGUGCAUGCGAAGAAAAUGGUCAGAGCCUUGAAAAUGAGCUGACGAAAGAAAAAGGGAUGGACCCAAAGAAGAAACCAACAGAAUCGGAGCAAGUGAGAGCAGAGAAAGUGGGAGAGGAAGAAAAACAGAUGGAGAAACCCCACGUGAGAAGGAAACAGCAACCGGUGUCUCCAGGUGUGAGCCUGUAUCAUGGAAAAGCGAUGAUAUUAAUUAACAAUCUCGGUCCCAAGGCCCAGACAGCCAUUUGACAUGAGAGGUGUUUACACCGGCCUUUCUGCAAUGCAUCUAGCUGGACAAAACUGCAGAGGAAUGAUGGAGGAACACUUGCAAAGAAUCACAACAAGGAGACAGGAUCAGCUAGGCAGAGUGAGAACUUCUGGGGCCCAGUUUUGAUCGUGAGUGAAAUGAGUUUGGGGUAGGAUCAGCUCAGCCGAGUGGACACUUAUCCACACCAAGAAACUCCCACACAGCUAGUUUAUAACACGUGGUCUUGAAUAACAAAGGGCAAGAAGUGCCUCCCAAAAACUAACCUGUGAGUUUUGCGGGGGAGCAGGGAGGUAAGUGAGCUUGAAUAGUACUGUUGGUCUGCACCAAGUUGAUUUAAGAAAGGAGUAUUGAUAUCCCUACUUGAGAGAUGGGGAAACUGAGGCAAGGUGCAGUUAAGUGAUGUGUCCAAGGGCACUGUCGGAGCUGGGAGCAGAGCACAGGUCUCCUGCCUCCAAUUCCUGAGCUAAAGCGCUGAAUCAUACUCUCUCCCUCUGAAAUGUUAAUUUCAUCAUGAUUAAAAAUCAGAGUUAUCAGCCAUCGCCAGAGGGACAUGAUCAAAUGUCAAAACAGUUUCUAUUGUGUAAUCCAGAUAAUCGGGAUAAUUUAUUGGGUUGAUUUAAAGGCCUAAACCUCUCCUCCAGCACCUCAAUUUAUUUAUUUUUUUAAUGGCGAGGGAAGGAAGGAAACUCCUGGGCUACGAAGAGUCAUAUUCAGUGAGUUGCAUAUGAUUGACAGCUGCCAGAACCCCUCCAGGAGCAUUUGUUUGUGGCUGCCUGUCAGGUACAAGGUAACAAGAAAGUGGAAAGGCUUUCAGAAAGAAAGUGAGAGGUAAUUUCCUCUAAUGUUAUGUGGGAGAUGAACACUCAAGACUAUUAUCGCUUGAUGGGUUUUGUGUCUGUGUCUCCUGUGCAGCAGGCUAGAGAAUUACUCCCAGGAAAGAAACACUCUAAAAAAGGUUCAUUUACUGAGCAUUACAAAAUAGCUAGAAAGAGUAAAAGAAACCAUUUCAGUCCUGUCUGUGUUUCUUCAAAAUAACCACCUGUUUGUUAUCAUUGUGCAACUAGGAAAUUCAAUAGGGAAUGGGAAACACAGGAUGGAGCACUUGAUUACCUGUUCUGUUCAUUCCCUCUGGGGCACCUGGCAUUGGCCGCUGUCAGAAGACAGGAUACUGGGCUAGAUGGACCUUUGGUCUGACCCAGUAGGGCCGUUCUUAUGUUCUAAACUGAGAGAAAGAGUGACUUUUCACCCUCCCCUGGAAGCGUAGAGCAGUGGACGGAGUCAGAAGACCUGAUUUCUAUACCUGGCUCUGCUGUUCUCCUUAUGGGACUCUGCCCAAAAACAAACAACAGAACUCAAAGAUUUGCAAGGGAAAUCCUGCUUCCGGGCAUGAACCAACCUCUAGCUAACAUGGGAUAAGGAAGAAACUUCCCCUGGGGCAAGUUAGUCCCACAUUUUACCACUACUGGAUUUCUUAUACCAUUCUCAGAAGUAGCUGGCGCUGGCUGCUGUCAAACAUGAAAUACUGGAAUGGAUGAAGCUCAGAGUUAGUACCCCUUAUUCUUCAGGACGGACUUUGCACUGCAGCCAUCUUCCUUGGAUAGAGAGUGAGGAUUGAACAUCGGGAGUCCUUGCAGAGCCCCCAGAGGCCACCCCACUAUUGUCCAGGGGGAGUCACCAUAGAGCAAUACAAGAGCCUGUUCUAAUGCCCCAGGAAGUCGGUUAGAAGACAAAAGUAGUGCAAGGUCUGGUCUUGUCACAGGAUCUCCACCUCCCAGGAACUGACAUACAAAGCAAGCACUGGAGGUCACGUUAUUUCAGCCCUAUAAUUGGAUCCUUGAGGCAUUAAGAGACCCAUGAAAAUGGGAGCACAAUAAAGAUGAGCACAUCAUUGUCAUGAUCACUGCUAGGGCUCAGUUUUGUUUACUUUAUGAUGUUUUAAUUAUUGUUUAUUUACUACUGUACUUUAAUUGUCUGCGUGUCAUCCUCAUGGGCCUGGGGUGGGUUACAGUGGUGCGUGGGGUGGGAUUAUGUAUAAAAUGAUUUAUUCUAUUGCUAAUUAUUAUUAGUCUGAUCGUUGCUUUGGUGAAAUCCCAGACUGAUAUGCUCUUCUGUUGAGCUUCAUUUGCAUGGGCUGUGAUUCUGCAGCAUCCGUAGCCGUGGCGUGCCAUGUAAUUUAAAGAGAAUGCGCCAGCCCUUCCGCAAAUGGAAACCAGCAUCACUCCAUUGCAGUCAGCAGAGAAAAAGGACUUGAUCGCUGGAAUUAGCAGAGCUAUGACACUUUAUACCAGCUGAAGAUGGUCCCUAAAUGCUACAACAAAGCCCUUCUCUGUAGUGUAUUGACUACUAUGUAAAAAAAUCACGUUAAAUCCUAAGGGGUUGCCUGGUGCUGCUUGCUGGCUAGGGUGCUCUGUAGGAAAGCGUAUGGAUCUGUGUCCUAGGCAGUCAGUCAGUCUGCAAAAAGCCCCAGCCUAUAGUAAGGUGGGGGGAGUUGUGGCUGUUUUAGGGGGGCAGCCUGCUUCAACUCUCUCUCUUUCGGAGUACUUGUGCAUUAUCGUUCAAAAUUCUAAGA